AUGCGAAAGGUGCCUGUAAAGUCAGGAGAAUAGGGAAGCCGGGUGUAAAUCCCGCACGGUCACGCCGCUGUAUCGGAGGAGUAUGCCAGUUUUUUGCCACCAGACAUCUGGGAAGGCUCUGCCAUAUGUGGAUCCCCAAGUCAGAAGACCUGCCUUUUGUA
rnacentral:ncRNA from 1 species